GACCCCAGUGCUGGCUAGGGUUGCAAAGCCACUGCUCUACGGAGCAAGCGAGAUCCAUCAUAGUGGGACAAGCAAGAAGAUGAGGCCAUGCAGACCAGGGUACUGUUCCACGCACUUGACACCAAUCCCCCCAUUUCACCUGCAUGAUCACCCUGCCUUUGCAUGAGUUGCCGGUGUGGACAGAGCAGGGACACAGUGAGGCAGCGGAUUCCGGCUGUGCUCUUCCCUGGAACACACUGCCUCUCACCAGGAAUCAUCCUUCCAUUUUAUGCAGUUAUCCCAGACAGUGAUGCACGAGCUUUGGGGAAAAAACCCCACAAGUCCAAAGGUGUACUUCAUAAUAAAGGCAAGUUCUCUAGUC
rnacentral:antisense_RNA from 1 species